AGCGUGCGUGAUGAAAACAUUGACCUUAUGUGAGGAUUGUGCGGUCAUUCUGACCUGUGUUCCUCACUAUGUUAGGAUCAGUCAUAGUUACACUGACCACGCU